UACAGAGGGGGCAAGCGUUAUUCGGAAUUAUUGGGCGUAAAGGGCGCGUAGGCGGCUUGGCAAGUGGAUGGUGAAAUCCCUCGGCUUAACCGAGGAACUGCCGUCCAAACUGCUUCGCUUGAGACCGGGAGAGGUGAGUGGAAUUCCCAGUGUAGCGGUGAAAUGCGUAGAUAUUGGGAGGAACACCAGUGGCGAAGGCGGCUCACUGGACCGGUACUGACGCUGAUGCGCGAAAGCUAGGGGAGCAAACGGG
rnacentral:rRNA from 1 species